CGAAAGCCUGACGGAGCAACGCCGCGUGAGGGAGGAAGGCCCUUGGGUUGUAAACCUCUUUUCUCAGGGAAGAAUUCUGACGGUACCUGAGGAAUAAGCAUCGGCUAACUCCGUGCCAGCAGCCGCGGUAAUACGGAGGAUGCAAGCGUUAUCCGGAUUUAUUGGGCGUAAAGCGUCCGCAGGUGGUUGAGUAAGUCUGUUGUUAAAGCGUGGGGCUUAACUCCAUAACGGCGAUGGAAACUGCUCGACUAGAGUGUGGCAGGGGUAGCGAGAAUUCCCGGUGUAGCGGUGAAAUGCGUAGAUAUCGGGAAGAAUACCGGCGGCGAAAGCGCGCUACUGGGCCAAUACUGACACUCAUGGACGAAAGCUAGGGGAGCG
rnacentral:rRNA from 1 species